UACGUAGGGUGCAAGCGUUGUCCGGAAUUAUUGGGCGUAAAGAGCUCGUAGGCGGUUUGUCGCGUCUGCUGUGAAAACUCGGGGCUUAACCCCGGGCCUGCAGUGGGUACGGGCAGACUAGAGUGCGGUAGGGGAGACUGGAAUUCCCGGUGUAGCGGUGAAAUGCGCAGAUAUCGGGAGGAACACCGGUGCGAAGGCGGUGCUCUGGGCCUGUACUGACGCUGAGGAGCG
rnacentral:rRNA from 1 species